AAUGGGGGCAACCCUGAUCCAGCCAUGCCGCGUGAGUGAAGAAGGCCUUCGGGUUGUAAAGCUCUUUCGGCCGGGAAGAAAUCGCAUGGGUGAAUACCCUGUGUGGAUGACGGUACCGGAACAAGAAGCACCGGCUAACCACGUGCCAGCAGCCGCGGUAAUACGGAGGGUGCAAGCGUUAUCCGGAAUCACUGGGUUUAAAGGGUGCGUAGGCGGCUAAAUAAGUCAGAGGUGAAAUGCUACGGCUUAAAUGUGGAAUUGCCUUUGAAAAUAUAUAGCUAGAAUAGAGUUGAGGGUGGCGGAAUGUGACAUGUAGCGGUGAAAUGCAUAGGUAUGUCAUAGAACAUCGAUUGCGAAGGCAGCUAACUGGGCUUUUAUUGACGCUGAAGCACGAAAGCGUGGGGAUCAAA
rnacentral:rRNA from 1 species